rnacentral:piRNA from 1 species
UUAAAAGAUAUGGACUUCGCCCAAAG